UACGUAGGGGGCAAGCGUUGUCCGGAUUUAUUGGGCGUAAAGAGCGUGUAGGCGGCCAGGUAGGUCUGCUGUGAAAACUCGAGGCUUAACCUCGAGCUGUCGGCGGAAACCAUCUGGCUAGAGUCCGGAAGAGGAGAAUGGAAUUCCCGGUGUAGCGGUGAAAUGCGCAGAUAUCGGGAAGAACACCCGUGGCGGAGGCGGUUCUCUGGGACGGUACUGACGCUGAGACGCGAAAGCGUGGGGAGCGAACAGG
rnacentral:rRNA from 1 species